UACGGAGGGUGCAAGCAUUAAUCGGAUUUAUUGGGCGUAAAGGGCGCGUAGGCUGGGCGGUCAGUCAGGUGUGAAAGCCCGGGGCUCAACCCCGGAACGGCACUUGAAACAGCCGCUCUUGAGGAUAGGCGGAGAAAAUGGAAUUCCACGUGUAGCGGUGAAAUGCGUAGAGAUGUGGAAGAACACCGGUGGCGAAAGCGGUUUUCUAGCUUAGACCUGACGCUGAGGCGCGAAAGCAAGGGGAGCAAACAGG
rnacentral:misc_RNA from 1 species